rnacentral:rRNA from 1 species
AUUGAACGCUGGCGGUAUGCUUAACACAUGCAAGUCGGACGGAAACGAUAGGAGCUUGCUCCUAGGCGUCGAGUGGCGGACGGGUGAGUAACACGUAAGUAAUUUUUCUAUAUGACUGGAAUAGCCAGUGGAAACAUUGGGUAAUGCCAGAUAUUUUGUGUAAGGGAAACUUUACAUAAAAAAGGGUAUUUUUAUGCCGCAUAUAGCGAAGCUUGCGGCUGAUUAGCUUGUUGGUAAGGUAAUGGCUUACCAAGGCGACGAUCAGUAGCCGGCCUGAGAGGGUGAUCGGCCACACUGGGACUGAGACACGGCCCAGACUCCUACGGGAGGCAGCA